CCGAGAUCGAGUCAGGUUUGACUCUGUUAUUUUCACUCCCAGGACGAUAGUGCCUAGAAGGAAGGCACUUCAUUUCCUUAGAGGUUUCAGGGGCAUAAAACUGAAGCAUCUUAGAGAGCCUUUCUCCCACUCUUCCUUCUGUACAACCUCACCCCCAUUUGGUACCCUUGGAUGUAAAUGAAAUUUGGCUUCUUGAAUUGGAAUGUGAGAAGAAAUCCAUUUUCAAUAUUGUACUUAUUUGAACCAACUGCUCACUAAAGACAAUUAUGAGGGGUUCUGAAACACAGCCCAGCUUCAUUGGAGCUAAGAUGACAGAGCCUUAUUUAUCGUCUCUAUUAGAAAACGGGGCCUUAAGUAUCUUGGAAACACAACACAUGGAAUCUUGUAGAUGGGAAUGAAGGCUGGCAUAAGUAUAUAUUGGGAAAGUCUUUAUUUCCUGGCAAAUUUAAUAUUUUUCUCUUUUACCACCACUCCCACUAAUACCACCUAUGUCUAAAGCCACACACUUUCCUAAGGGAAGGCAAGCCAUUCAACAUGAAAGAUGAUAAAAUUCUACCCAAUUUGCACAUCCAUCUGGUGUAAAUUAUUACUGAGUGACUCUGGGUUUCAGUAAUAGAGUUUAAAUAAAUUUGUUUGAAAAUGCUAGAGAUAACUUGGUUCAAACUCAGCUCCCUUUUAGAAGCCUACAAUCUAAGAUAACUUUCCCUUCGAUUCAUUGUGAAGGGAAUAUGUAUAUACUUUUAGUGUAAAUGAAGUCUAAAGCUGUAUCUGUACAAUAAAUAUUUGCAUUAACAUUCAA